GAGAGAGAGAGAAUAAUAGAGGUGAUUAGAGGGGUAAAAGAGAGAGGGAGAAUAAUAGAGGUGAAUGGAGGGGUAAAAGAGAGAGAGAAUAAUAGAGGUGAAUGGAGGGGUAAAAGAGAGAGCGAGAAUAAUAGAGGUGAUUAGAGGGGUAAAAGAGAGAGGGAGA